rnacentral:rRNA from 1 species
UACGUAGGUGGCAAGCGUUGUCCGGAUUUACUGGGCGUAAAGAGCGCGCAGGCGGUCGUUCAAGUCGCGUGUGAAAGCCCCCGGCUCAACUGGGGAGGGUCACGCGAUACUGAUCGACUCGAAGGCAGGAGAGGGUAGUGGAAUUCCCGGUGUAGUGGUGAAAUGCGUAGAUAUCGGGAGGAACACCAGUGGCGAAGGCGGCUGACUGGACACAUAUUGACGCUGAGGCUCGAAAGCAUGGGGAGCAAACAGG